AUCGCGAGGAGAAGGCGCUGAGGCCAAUCGCGUCGGGGUCGUUAAAAUAGACGGAAAGAAAUCUUCUCCAUCUCGAUCGGCGCCGACGAACGAGGACGGUAGUCGCUUCUUUGCGGGGGUGCCACGGUGAAGGCCGCAGGUGGUGUAAAAAGUAGGUGCCGUUGCAGCUGCGGCUGCUGUAUCAGCUGUCGUCGCAGCAACAGCAGUGAUCCGAGGAAGCAAACGGAGAAGAGGAAACCAAACUGAAGUUGUCUUUUUAAUUAAUGCCUGUUGCUUCAGAAAAAGGAGGGGAGGGGUAAAUGAUUGCCAGAAGCAAUUUGUUUUGCAUGAGAUGUCCUAGUGAUUGCUUUUGGCA